UUAAGUGGAAAAGGAUGUGGGGUUGCACAGACAACUAGGAUGUUAGCUUAGAAGCAGCUAUUCAUUCAAAGAGUGCGUAAUAGCUCACUAGUCGAGUGACCCUGCGCCGAAAAUGUACCGGGGCUAAAACAGUUUACCGAAGCUGUGGAUGACACAAAAGUGUCAUGGUAGGAGAGCGUUCUAUGUGUGAAGAAGGUGUACCGUGAGGAGCGCUGGAACGCAUAGAAGUGAGAAUGCCGGUAUGAGUAGCGAAAGACAGGUGAGAAUCCUGUCCACCGUAAGACUAAGGUUUCCAGGGGAAGGCUCGUCCGCCCUGGGUUAGUCGGGACCUAAGGAGAGACCGAAAGGUGUAUCCGAUGGCCAACAGGUUGAUAUUCCUGUACUAGAGUAUAUAGUGAUGGAGGGACGCAGUAGGCUAACUAAACCGGACGAUUGGAAGAGUCCGGCUAAGCAGUGAGGUGUAAGAUGAGUCAAAUGCUUAUCUUUAUAACAUUGAGCUGUGAUGGGGAGCGAAUUUUAGUAGCGAAGUUAGUGAUGUCACACUGCCAAGAAAAGCUUCUAGCGUUUAAUGAUACUCUACCCGUACCGCAAACCGACACAGGUAGUCGAGGCGAGUAGCCUCAGGUGAUCGAGAGAACUCUCGUUAAGGAACUCGGCAAAAUGACCCCGUAACUUCGGGAGAAGGGGUGCUGACUUAGGUCAGCCGCAGUGAAUAGGCCCAAGCAACUGUUUAUCAAAAACACAGCUCUCUGCUAAAUCGUAAGAUGAUGUAUAGGGGGUGACGCCUGCCCGGUGCUGGAAGGUUAAGAGGAGGGUUUAGCGCAAGCGAAGAUCUGAAUUGAAGCCCCAGUAAACGGCGGCCGUAACUAUAACGGUCCUAAGGUAGCGAAAUUCCUUGUCGGGUAAGUUCCGACCCGCACGAAAGGCGUAAUGAUUUGGGCACUGUCUCAACGAGAGACUCGGUGAAAUUUUAGUACCUGUGAAGAUGCAGGUUACCCGCAACAGGACGGAAAGACCCCAUGGAGCUUUACUGCAGUUUGAUAUUGAGUAUCUGUACCACAUGUACAGGAUAGGUAGGAGCCAUUGACUUCGGGACGCCAGUUUCGAAUGAGGCGUUGUUGGGAUACUACCCUUGUGUUAUGGCUACUCUAACCCAGAUAGGUUAUCCCUAUCGGAGACAGUGUCUGACGGGCAGUUUGACUGGGGCGGUCGCCUCCUAAAGAGUAACGGAGGCGCCCAAAGGUUCCCUCAGAUUGGUUGGAAAUCAAUCGCAGAGUGUAAAGGUAUAAGGGAGCUUGACUGCGAGAGCUACAACUCGAGCAGGGACGAAAGUCGGGCUUAGUGAUCCGGUGGUACCGAAUGGAAGGGCCAUCGCUCAACGGAUAAAAGCUACCCUGGGGAUAACAGGCUUAUCUCCCCCAAGAGUUCACAUCGACGGGGAGGUUUGGCACCUCGAUGUCGGCUCGUCGCAUCCUGGGGCUGUAGUCGGUCCCAAGGGUUGGGCUGUUCGCCCAUUAAAGCGGCACGCGAGCUGGGUUCAGAACGUCGUGAGACAGUUCGGUCCCUAUCCGUCGCGGGCGUAGGAAAUUUGAGAGGAUCUGCUCCUAGUACGAGAGGACCAGAGUGGACUUACCGCUGGUGUACCAGUUGUCUUGCCAAAGGCAUCGCUGGGUAGCUAUGUAGGGAAGGGAUAAGCGCUGAAAGCAUCUAAGUGCGAAGCCCCCCUCAAGAUGAGAUUUCCCAUGAUUUUAUAUCAGUAAGAGCCCUGAGAGAUGAUCAGGUAGAUAGGUUAGGAGUGUAAGUGUAGCGAUACAUGUAGCGGACUAAUACUAAUAGCUCGAGGACUUAUCCAA
rnacentral:rRNA from 1 species